UAUCGAAGCAGUUAACAUUUACAUUUUUCAAGAGUAGUAAAAUUUUAGUACAGAUGUUAGCAUUUAGAGGGCACAUAGACAUUUGCGGAAGUGUAAUUGAUAUAUAGAAUCUCCAUUCAUGGCAUUUCCACCUUGUUGUGGUGAGGGAUUUUGCGUCUUCCAAGGAUCCUGAGAGGUAUGCCAGCGGUAGCUUUGCUACUGGUAAGAAAUCCCAGGAUCAUAUUGUUCGGUAACUCGGUCAGAAGAUCUUUCUCUGUUCCACCUACUAAAGUACUACAGGGUAACCACAUUUGCGAGAUAAGAUGGUGUUUAUUUUUGGUAACAGAUGACGCCACUUUCCAUUCUAUUAGAGUACUAAGUGACGGGGCGAAACAAACCCUUCCACAGUGCUGCCC
rnacentral:lncRNA from 1 species